rnacentral:rRNA from 1 species
GGAGCUUGCUCCUUAGAUUAGCGGCGGACGGGUGAGUAACACGUGGGCACCCUGCCUAUAAGACUGGNAUAACUUCGGGAACCNGNAGCUUAAUCCNGGAUACGUUCUUUUCUGGCAUGAGAGAAGAUGGAAAGACGGUUUACGCUGUCACUUAUAGAUGGGCCCGCGGGCGCAUUAGCUAGUUGGUGAGGUAAUGGCUCACCAAGGCGACGAUGCGUAGCCGACCUGAGAGGGUGAUCGGCCACACUGGGACUGAGACACGGCCCAGACUCCUACGGGAGGCAGCAGUAGGGAAUCUUCCGCAAUGGACGAAAGUCUGACGGAGCAACGCCGCGUGAACGAAGAAGGCCUUCGGGUCGUAAAGUUCUGUUGUUAGGGAAGAACAAGUACCAGAGUAACUGCUGGUACCUUGACGGUACCUAACCAGAAAGCCACGGCUAA